rnacentral:rRNA from 1 species
CGGACGGGUGAGUAAUGUCUGGGAAACUGCCUGAUGGAGGGGGAUAACUACUGGAAACGGUAGCUAAUACCGCAUAACGUCGCAAGACCAAAGAGGGGGACCUUAGGGCCUCUUGCCAUCGGAUGUGCCCAGAUGGGAUUAGCUAGUAGGUGGGGCAACGGCUCACCUAGGCGACGAUCCCUAGCUGGUCUGAGAGGAUGACCAGCCACACUGGAACUGGGACACGGUCCAG